AAUGCUUCUAAGCACGGACACUCCAGUGCUAAUGAAAACUGAAAUGAUCAGCGGGCAGGAAGGUAUCAUCUGCAAACCGUGCUUUUGGGUUAUUUGGAUUUAUUUAAAUCUGUAUACUUGCAAUGCACUGUGCAGAAUGACCAGAGAUCUCUGCUUACAUUUAGAAUUUGGAAAAGCAAAGAAAGAACCAGUGCUGUCUACUAAACAUGUGGGAGUGCGCCAGGCUUCUCCAAAGUAGGAAAGGCGAAGUAAAGAAAAAAGCAACGUCUAGGAAGC